UUAGAGAUAAAACCCAAUGUAGUCCUCUCUCUCCCAGCAUUAGGUCUCCCCUUUCUAUUUUCUUUCUUUCUCUUCUUCCUCUGAUGCAGUAAAAUGAUCUUGCUGGACUUUGGAAUCAGAUCAUCCAUAUAUAGCUAAGGCACCUUGAGCAAAAUGACCUCUCUGACCCUCAGUUUCCUCAGCUAUAAAAGGUGGGCAAUAAAACUCAAAAGCAACUGUAGCAUGAGUAGGAAGGGCUCUCUUUACAUGGAUUAAUUUAGUUUAUCCUCAUAAGGACCUUACAAGAUAGGUAUUAUUAUCCCCAGGUUACAGAUGAAGAAACAAGCUAAGAAGAUGAGGUAACUAACUGAUAAUUAGCCAGCUAAGGAUGGAAGAAGAGCAGCAAUGGAAAAGUUCAAGGGUACCUCAGAAGAAAAAGGGAAAGAAGUUAGUGGAAUGCCCCAGAUGGAGACAUGUCAAGUCCAUGGCACCUUAUCAGACUGACAGAAAAGCAAAAACCUCUUCUUCACGUGACCCAGAUCAGAACAGAUUCAAAUGUGAAUGCUACUACUGCCUGAGGUAUGUGGGCACCACCUCUGGCAUCUCCACUGGGAGCAAAGCAACAACCUCUCAUUCUUCCUGUUGUGAUAAGCUAAUACAGGAACUCAACAACUUAAAGCUCAACUCUGAGAACACCCAACCCCCCGCUCUCUGACAAAAACAGAGAGCAGGAAAGGGUUGAGAAGAGACAAAAACA